rnacentral:pre_miRNA from 1 species
UCAGCAGUAUUAAAGUGCUUAUAGUGCAGGUAGUUUUUAGUGACCUACUGCAGUAUGAGCACUUGAAGUACUUCUAG